rnacentral:rRNA from 1 species
CAAUAGCGUAUAUUAAAGUUGUUGCAGUUAAAAGGCUCGUAGUUGGAUUUCUGGUGGGAGCACGGGUCGGCCUUCACGGGUUGUACUGUUGUUGCGUCCUGCCGUUUCGGAGGGAAUGGUCAUGUUAUUAGGUUAGCGUGAUCGGAAACUCUGUCGUUUACUGUGAAAAAUUAGAGUGUUCAAAGCAGGCCUUCGCUGUGAAUACAUUAGCAUGGAAUAAUAAGAUAGGACUGUAGUGCUAUUUUGUUGGUUUGCGUACUAUGGUAAUGAUUAAUAGGGACAGUUGGGGGCAUUUUUAUUCCAUUGUCAGAGGUGAAAUUCUUGGAUUAACGGAAGAAAAACUACUGCGAAAGCAUUUGCCAAGGAUGUUUUCAUUGAUCAAGAACGAAAGUUAGGGGAUCGAAGACGAUUAGAUACCAU